CCUACGGGCGGCAGCAGUGAGGAAUAUUGGUCAAUGGGCGUAAGCCUGAACCAGCCAAGUCGCGUGAGGGAUGAAGGUUCUAUGGAUCGUAAACCUCUUUUAUAAGGGAAUAAAGUGCGGGACGUGUCCCGUUUUGUAUGUACCUUAUGAAUAAGGAUCGGCUAACUCCGUGCCAGCAGCCGCGGUAAUACGGAGGAUCCGAGCGUUAUCCGGAUUUAUUGGGUUUAAAGGGUGCGUAGGCGGCCUUUUAAGUCAGCGGGGAAAGUCUGUGGCUCAACCAGAGAAUUGCCGUUGAAACUGGGAGGCUUGAGUAUGUUUGAGGCAGGCAGAAUGCGUGGUGUAGCGGUGAAAUGCAGAGAGAUCACGCAGAACUCCGAGCGCGAAGGCAGCCUACCGGCGCGCAACUGACGCUCAUGCACGAAAGCGUGGGUAUCGAACAGGAUUAGAUACCCUUGUAGUC
rnacentral:rRNA from 1 species